AACGCUAGCUACAGGCUUAACACAUGCAAGUCGAGGGGCAGCAUGGUCUUAGCUUGCUAAGGCCGAUGGCGACCGGCGCACGGGUGAGUAACACGUAUCCAACCUGCCGUCUACUCUUGGACAGCCUUCUGAAAGGAAGAUUAAUACAAGAUGGCAUCAUGAGUCCACAUGUUCACAUGAUUAAAGGUAUUCCGGUAGACGAUGGGGAUGCGUUCCAUUAGAUAGUAGGCGGGGUAACGGCCCACCUAGUCUUCGAUGGAUAGGGGUUCUGAGAGGAAGGUCCCCCACAUUGGAACUGAGACACGGUCCAAACUCCUACGGGAGGCAGCAGUGAGGAAUAUUGGUCAAUGGACGAGAGUCUGAACCAGCCAAGUAGCGUGAAGGAUGAAGGUCCUACGGAUUGUAAACUUCUUUUAUAAGGGAAUAAACCCUCCCACGUGUGGGAGCUUGUAUGUACCUUAUGAAUAAGCAUCGGCUAACUCCGUGCCAGCAGCCGCGGUAAUACGGAGGAUGCGAGCGUUAUCCGGAUUUAUUGGGUUUAAAGGGAGCGCAGACGGGUCGUUAAGUCAGCUGUGAAAGUUUGGGGCUCAACCUUAAAAUUGCAGUUGAUACUGGCGUCCUUGAGUGCGGUUGAGGUGUGCGGAAUUCGUGGUGUAGCGGUGAAAUGCUUAGAUAUCACGAAGAACUCCGAUUG
rnacentral:rRNA from 1 species